CUGGCAGCCAAAGUCAGCAAAAUAUUUAUUCAAAUAGCGUGCGCGUCUCCGGCUCCCUAAAGCUGCAGGUUGAAAUGGUCAGAGGCGGGACCCCAGAACCCUGAACCCCGAUCUCAGAACCCAUAGCCCACGAAUGCGCUACGUGAUAAGCCUGUUCGUUUCCAUGGAAUUCCUGCUGACUAAUAUGGUGAGGACCUCAAGCUAAUUUUCAUUUGGGUGCCCAGGCCAGAAGUCAAAUAAAUGGCGCACAAUGGGCCUCAUACAGAUAAUGGAAAAGGUAUCUUUCAGGUUAUGUAAUAUGUAUAAGUUUUAUUAAAUAUUUUAUGCUUGGAUUCUAAUAUAAAGAUACAGAGUAAGAUAUAUUUUCCAUCAUUUGUUUACACUUGAGAAUAUAUCAGCAACUUUCCCUCCCA